CCUCACUUUGAAGUGUCUACUUAGUCUUCCUCUGACUCUGGGGUCUCAUUCUGAUGCCAGAAUAAUCCCCUUCUUGCAGAAAGGCCGGACUCUACUGUGGGCCGACCCUUCCAAUAGCUGGGAAGACCU